GAUGAAGAACGCAGCGAAAUGCGAUAAGUAAUGUGAAUUGCAGAAUUCAGUGAAUCAUCGAAUCUUUGAACGCACCUUGCGCUCCUUGGUAUUCCGAGGAGCAUGCCUGUCCGAGCGUCAUUACAACCCUCAAGCUCAGCUUGGUGUUGGGCCCCGCCGCCCCGGCGGGCCCUAAAGUCAGUGGCGGUGCCGUCCGGCUCCGAGCGUAGUAAUUCUUCUCGCUCUGGAGGUCCGGUCGUGUGCUCGCCAGCAACCCCCAAUUUUUUUCAGGUUGACCUCGGAUCAGGUAGGGAUACCCGCUGAACUUAAGCAUAUCAAUAAGCGGAGGA
rnacentral:misc_RNA from 1 species